rnacentral:lncRNA from 1 species
UUCAAAAGAGGAGUGUCCCAUCUGAGGACCAACCAUACCUUAUUCCUCACAAGAGGUCGGAAACCACCAAAUUUCAAAUGGUUGUCCCUCACCCACAGAGGCGCGAGGUUGUUACAACCCAUUCAAAUCAAUGGUUAGAUGUCACACGAUUUGUUUAAGCAAAAAGAAACAAAGGAAAAAAUCAGAAAUCAAAAGAAAGAAAGCUCGCUAAGUCGAAAACUCG